GCUUUAUGCCACAACUCCAUUCGUCAACAAGGGAGAACUAGUGCAAAAGGAGAACCUGCAGCACAUUUUGCUAUAGUUUUUCAAUGAAUAUCUAGAGUCUCAACCAAUUCAACAAAGUUUGUGGCAACCACAAAAAUGCAGUUUCUGGA
rnacentral:lncRNA from 11 species